rnacentral:lncRNA from 1 species
GUUUCAUGUUUGAAAAUGAAGUAUGAGCAAGUCUCAAAUGCCAAAUGUAAUUCAUGUUAGUUGCAGCAACAUUAUUACAGAUGGAACUAUUUACAUUGGAAGGUAAAGCAACAUCUUUAUGGCAACCAGUAAAAGAUGAAUUGUCAUGAUUACAAGAGUCAGAUUUAUAGUAUACAAAAGCAAAUGAACAACCAGUAGAGGAAGAAGGGGAAGCUGGAGCCCAUGCAAGCUUGUAUAGACCAGCCUUCUCUCUACC